CAAUAGCGUAUAUUAAAGUUGUUGCAGUUAAAAAGCUCGUAGUUGGAUUUGUGGCGUACGGUGUGUUCCGGGCACUUGUUGUCUGAGUAACCUGCUGUUGCCAUCCUUGGGUGGAACCUGUGUGGCAUUAGGUUGUCGUGCAGGGGAUGCCCAUCAUUUACUGUGAAAAAAUUAGAGUGUUCAAAGCAGGCUUAUGCCGUUGAAUAUAUUAGCAUGGAAUAAUGAGAUAGGACUUUUUUGCUAUUUUGUUGGUUUGCGCAAAGAGGUAAUGAUUAAUAGGGACAGUUGGGGGUAUUCGUAUUCCAUAGUCAGAGGUGAAAUUCUUGGAUUUUUGGGAGACGAACUACUGCGAAAGCAUUUACCAAGGAUGUUUUCAUUAA
rnacentral:rRNA from 1 species